rnacentral:rRNA from 1 species
CACGUAGGGUGCGAGCGUUGUCCGGAAUUAUUGGGCGUAAAGAGCUCGUAGGCGGUCUGUCGCGUCUGCUGUGAAAACUCAGGGCUUAACCCUGAGCUUGCAGUGGGUACGGGCAGACUAGAGUGCGGUAGGGGAGACUGGAAUUCCUGGUGUAGCGGUGAAAUGCGCAGAUAUCAGGAGGAACACCGGUGGCGAAGGCGGGUCUCUGGGCCGUAACUGACGCUGGAGGAGCGAAAGCCGUGGGGAGCGAACAGG